AUCGGAACGCAUAACAACAGAGACGGUUGAGUUUGAUCUGGUCUGUGCGUGCGUGCGGAAGCACCUCUCGCUCUCCCUAUCCCUCCGGCCACCGGCGGACACCGUCGACCACAGAGAGAAGGUCUCUCCCCGGUCUUGGAUUUGAAAAGGGCAUGGCCGCAAAGAAAGUUAUAGCUAUAUGUCAGUCAGGAGGAGAGUUUGUGACGAACAAGGAUGGUUCAUUAUCGUAUAAUGGGGGAGAGGCAUAUGCAAUUGAUGUUGAUCAGCAAACGCAGUUGAGUGAUUUUAAGCUGGAAGUGGCGGAAAUGUUUAAUUGUAGUAUUGAUACCAUGUCUAUCAAGUACUUCCUUCCUGAUAACAAGAAGACUCUCAUCACAAUCUCUAAAGAUAAGGACCUAAAGCGCAUGGUGAAAUUCCUGGGGGAUUCUGUCACGGUUGAUAUAUUCAUCAUGACAGAGGAAGCUGUUCCUCGGAACCAAUCCAUCAUGCCUGCUAGUAGGUCAAGCAGGACAACUGUAUCUGAAGCAGUGGUUCCUGCAGUUGCCCCUGUGGAUGCUGUUGUCGACAUGACCCAUGCCAUCGAUAAGGUUGAUAUGGACAUGGCUAAUUAUACCCAUUCAGAUAAUGCUCCUGUUAUUUCCAAUGAUGACAAGCAUCAAAAAGCUGCUCAACAGUGGGAGAACACUAUCACUGGCGUAGACCAAAGGUUUAAUAGUUUUAAUGAAUUUCGAGAAGCAUUGCAUAAAUACUCAAUUGCACAUGGUUUCGCUUACAAAUAUAAGAAAAAUGACAGUCAUCGUGUGACUGUAAAAUGCAAAUCGCAAGGUUGCCCAUGGAGGAUAUAUGCAUCUAGAUUGUCCACAACCCAGUUAAUUUGUAUUAAGAAAAUGCAUACAACACACACAUGUGAAGGUGCCAUUGUGAAAGCUGGGUAUCGGGCUACAAGGGGUUGGGUGGGAACUAUCAUAAAGGAGAAGUUGAAAGUCUCCCCAAAUUACAAGCCAAAAGAUAUUGCAGAUGAUAUCAAACGAGAGUAUGGGAUUCAACUGAACUAUUCACAAGCAUGGCGUGCAAAAGAGAUUGCUAGGGAGCAGCUUCAGGGCUCAUAUAAAGAGGCUUAUAGUCAAUUACCCUUUUUCUGUGAGAAGAUAAAGGAGACUAAUCCCGGUAGUUUUGCUACAUUUGAGACCAAGGAGGAUUCAAGCUUCCAUCGUCUCUUUAUCUCUUUCCAUGCUGCAAUAUCUGGUUUCCAGCAGGGUUGCCGCCCUCUCCUUUUCCUUGAUAGCACUCCUUUAAACUCAAAAUACCAAGGGAUGUUGUUGACUGCAACAGCUGCAGAUGGGGAUGAUGGUGUAUUUCCAGUGGCAUUUGCCGUAGUUGAUGCUGAGACUGAUGACAACUGGAGUUGGUUUCUGCUGGAACUGAAAUCUGCAGUGUCAACAGCUCGACCAAUUACCUUUGUUGCAGAUUUUCAAAAGGGUUUAAAGAAGUCUUUGGCUGAGAUAUUUGACAAUGGCUACCACAGCUAUUGUCUUCGCUAUUUAACUGAGAAAUUAAACAAAGACUUGAAGGGGCAGUUUUCUCAUGAAGCAAGACGUUUCAUGAUUAAUGAUUUUUAUGCUGCUGCUUAUGCUUCCAGACUUGAAACUUUCCAGCGUUGUACUGAAAACAUAAAAGGCAUUUCACCUGAAGCUUACAAUUGGGUCAUACAGAGCGAGCCAGACCAUUGGUCUAAUGCAUUCUUUGGAGGAGCAAGGUAUAGCCACAUGGCAUCAAACUUUGGACAACUGUUCUACAAUUGGGUAUCUGAGGCAAAUGACUUGCCCAUAACACAGAUGGUUGAUGUGUUACGAGGUAAGAUGAUGGAAUUGAUCUAUAAACGUCGGGUGGAUUCCAGUCAAUGGAUAACAAAGCUAACACCAUCUAAGGAGGAAAAACUCCUAAAGGAUACUUCCACAGCACGAUCGCUUCAAGUGUUACUCUCGCAUGGUAGCACAUUUGAGGUUCGUGGGGAAUCUAUUGAUAUUGUUGAUAUUGAUCAUUGGGACUGUUCCUGCAAAGAUUGGCAGCUCAGUGGGUUGCCUUGCUGCCAUGCUAUUGCUGUCUUUGAAUGGAUUGGUAGGAACCCAUAUGACUAUUGCUCAAGAUACUUCACAGUUGAGAGUUACCGCUUAACGUAUGCAGAAUCAAUUCACCCUGUUCCAAAUGUAGACAGACCAGUGAAGACUGAGUCUACUCAGGUGGGAAUUAUCGUGACUCCUCCACCUACUAAACGUCCACCAGGCCGGCCAAAGAUGAAGCAGGCUGGAUCAGUAGAAACAAUUAAACGCCAACUCCAAUGCAGCAAGUGCAAGGGCCUUGGCCACAAUAAGAAGACAUGCAAAGAUUUCUAGUGCAUAUUUUAGGAUAUUGUAAGUGGUAUACUCAGCAUUGCUCUCCGCCUCAUGUUUUUUAGGCAAUUUUGGCCAGUGUAGGUUUGUGCUUGGGAGCCUAAGACGCUUCAGAUUAUCCCCUUUGCUCGUAUAAGCUAUCCAGUCCAGAUGCAAGUAAAUGCAACGUCUUUUGUUUCUGAUCAUCAAAGUCAAUCAACAGCCCGGAAACUGGAUCCAAUGAAGACUGCUAUUACCAGUCUGUCUUUCAGCAACCCCUAAAUUUUCUAGCUGCUGCCUGCUGGCUUACUGCUGGGCAGUGUACAAUUUAUUCUUAUUACUAUGAUGUACUUGAAUAUGAAGUCCAUGAACUGCAAAGAACUCCCAAAUGUAAUGAGUGCAAUUUAUUCUUAUUACUAUGAUUAUUAAUUCAAUGUAACAGUUUUACAUGAAAUUUGGUACCCACUUUCUGUUGAAUAUAUUGCCUUUUUUUUUUUUGCUAAUGUUGUAUUAUGGCUGUUACUUGUUACCCAAACUUUCAACCAUCAACGAGGGCAGUGGAUAUCAAAAAGACUAUGGCCUAUGGCCGACUGACACCAAUUGUACCCAACACAUACAAAUUUGUCCUUUUGCUCCUGAUGCUCAUAAAAUCAGUUUAAGUGUUCAAAUGAUGCAUCAGAGGAGCGGCGGAGCAGAGUGCAGUUUUGGUGAAGGUGAAUUAAUUAAGAAUAUAGGUAUGUAAAUUACUAACUUCAAUAGAUUGGGUUGGGUUGGUGCAUGAGUGUGGACGUGACACGUGCCACAUCAGUCAAACACCAAAGCAUGCGUGGCAUUACUACGAAGUUGACACUUUGGACAUCCUAAGAAGACACAUGGCCAGCUCAUGUAUCCACUACCCUCCUACAGUCGCCACGUCGCCUGACACCUGCCAUUUUCUUCCGAACCUUCCCACUCUCUCUCUGUCUCUCUCUAUAUAUAUACUUACAAACACAUGUCUGUGUGCAUUGCUUCAAACAGCUGGGAACAUCAUUCCUGAACUGCGUGGUUACUUCUUGUUUGCUGUGAUAGUUUGAAGGAAAGGAUCCUUCUCUUUUGAUUUAGUUUUGAUCCGAGGAGCUCAUAUUAUUGGAUUUUCAUGGCUUCCUUCAGCUCACGGAAACCUUGUGAGUCCUCCUCCAGACGGGUGAUGGCCCUUGUUCUGGUGGUGAUGGUUGUAGUGGUGCUUACCAGGGGCUGCAGUUGCUCCCAUGUUACAGAGGAGGUCAAGGGCCAGGUGGAGAAGGCUCAGGAGAAGGCGGCAGAGGCAGAGGAGGAGGCCAAAGAAGCCUCAGAGUCGUGGGCGGAGUGGGCUAAAGACAAAAUCUCACAAAACUUGAGACUCAAGCAAGAAAA